rnacentral:pre_miRNA from 1 species
GUGUGGAUGGUGUUCAGCACCAGGGACAGGUGUGUUUACCUGUGUGUGAAUGGUGUUCAGCACCAGUA